UACGAAGGGGGGCUAGCGUUGUUCGGAAUUACUGGGCGUAAAGCGCGCGCAGGCGGUCUUCCAAGUCAGUGGUGAAAGCCUGGAGCUCAACUCCAGAACUGCCAUUGAAACUGUUAGACUUGAGUACGAGAGAGGUGAGUGGAAUUCCCAGUGUAGAGGUGAAAUUCGUAGAUAUUGGGAAGAACACCAGUGGCGAAGGCGGCUCACUGGCUCGUAACUGACGCUCAGGCGCGACAGCGUGGGGAUCAAACAGG
rnacentral:rRNA from 1 species